GACGGGGCCCGCACAAGCGGUGGAGCAUGUGGUUAAUUCGAAGCAACGCGAAGAACCUUACCAGGUCUUGACAUCCCCUGACAACCCGAGAGAUCGGGCGUUCCCCUUCGGGGGACAGGGUGACAGGUGGUGCAUGGUUGUCGUCAGCUCGUGUCGUGAGAUGUUGGGUUAAGUCCCGCAACGAGCGCAACCCUCGACCUUAGUUGCCAGCAUUCAGUUGGGCACUCUAAGGUGACUGCCGGUGUUAAACCGGAGGAAGGUGGGGAUGACGUCAAGUCCUCAUGGCCUUUAUGCUUAGGGCUACACACGUGCUACAAUGGGUGGUACAAAGAGAAGCCAACUCGCGAGAGCGCGCCAAUCUCAAAAAGCCAUCCUCAGUUCGGAUUGGAGUCUGCAACUCGACUCCAUGAAGUUGGAAUCGCUAGUAAUCGCGGAUCAGCACGCCGCGGUGAAUACGUUCCCGGGCCUU
rnacentral:rRNA from 1 species